rnacentral:rRNA from 1 species
GACGAACGCUGGCGGCGUGCUUAACACAUGCAAGUCGAACGGAAAGGCCCUGCUUUUGUGGGGUGCUCGAGUGGCGAACGGGUGAGUAACACGUGAGUAACCUGCCCUUGACUUUGGGAUAACUUCAGGAAACUGGGGCUAAUACCGGAUAGGAGCUCCUGCUGCAUGGUGGGGGUUGGAAAGUUUCGGCGGUUGGGGAUGGACUCGCGGCUUAUCAGCUUGUUGGUGGGGUAGUGGCUUACCAAGGCUUUGCCGGGUAGCCGGCCUGAGAGGGUGACCGGCCACAUUGGGACUGAGAUACGGCCCAGACUCCUACGGGAGGCAGCAGUGGAGAAUAUUGCACAAUGGGCGGAAGCCUGAUGCAGCAACGCCGCGUGCGGGAUGACGGCCUUCGGGUUGUAAACCGCUUUCGCCUGUGACGAAGCGUGAGUGACGGUAAUGGGUAAAGAAGCACCGGCUAACUACGUG